CGCUGGCGGCGUUGCUUAACACAUGCAAGUCGAACGGAACUCUUCGGAUCAAGGCUUCGGCCAAGUGAAUUUGAGUUUAGUGGCGGACGGGUGAGUAACGCGUGAGGAACCUGCCUUACAGAGGGGGACAACAGUUGGAAACGACUGCUAAUACCGCAUAAUGUCUAACUGAGGCAUCUCGGAUAGACCAAAGGAGCAAUCCGCUGUAAGAUGGACUCGCGUCCAAUUAGAUAGUUGGUGGGGUAACGGCCCACCAAGUCGACGAUUGGUAGCCGGACUGAGAGGUUGAACGGCCACAUUGGGACUGAGACACGGCCCAGACUCCUACGGGAGGCAGCAGUGGGGGAUAUUGCACAAUGGGGGAAACCCUGAUGCAGCAACGCCGCGUGAAGGAAGAAGGUCUUCGGAUUGUAAACUUCUGUUUUUAGUGAAGAAACAAAUGACGGUAGCUAAAGAGGAAGCCACGGCUAACUACGUG
rnacentral:rRNA from 1 species